rfam:Brachypodium distachyon strain Bd21 chromosome 2, whole genome shotgun sequence.
CUAUUACUCCCUCCGACCCAUAUUACUUGUCUCAAAUUUGCCCAAAUAUGGAUGUAUCUAUGUUUAAAAAGCGUCUAGAUAUUUCGACAAGUAAUAUGGGUCGGAGGGAGUAUAUA